AUAUUGAUUAGUGUGCCUUAAUUGUAUAGUAGACUUCAAUCCAUCUUUCUUUCGUUAUUUUUAAUUAAACAAAAUGGCAAUGUGCCAAUUCAUUGAAUAACAAAAAAAUGUAAACAAAAAGUCGGAGGAAAGUGUCAGGUAGUAGAAAAUAAGAAAAAACAAAAUGAAAACUUACAAAAAAUGGAUCUAUCUAGAUUGUGGAAGGAGACCAAACUUGCACCGAUGGAAUAUGAUUUUUGAGAUUAGGAAAGUGAGAUUCCUCUUUAGAUCGUCGCCGGUCAGAGCUACUCCGUCAUCUAUUAGCUCAUGUGUGCUUUUCCAUCUCACUGUAUCACACUGGAAAUAAGAUUUUGAUCGGAAUUGUAUUUAGAUCUAGAGUCGUUCCGUCAACAAUCAUAUGUUUCGUGAAAUGUUGAUGUCUUCUUCAGCUCUAUUUUGCGUCGAUGUUACUCUAUUUGGGAUGGUCAACUAAGAUUUUGUUAUUUUGCUUGGAAAUUGAGAGUUUAUGAUGUGGUCGUAUCAGUUUUUAUGUUCUUUGCAAUGUCAGGUUAGAUCUCUAUCUUUAUUUUU